CGUUCUGUUGGCCGGCCUGUGCACGUGGACCCUCGCCGGAGACAGACGACGAGAAAUAAAGAAAAUAGAUCCAGGGGAUAUAGACUAGACAAUAGUCUAAUACCCUAUAAAAGAAGAAAAGAAGAAGAAGAAGAAGACAGCGAAAAAAUAUUUAUUGCGAUAAAUCUUCAAAGCGGCUUUACUCAUCUGUGUUUAAAUAUGGGGUUUGAUUUCCAAAAACAUAGACGUCCCCUUGUCAUGGGCAGCAUAUUCGCCGUGUUGUCACUGGUGUAUACUUUUCGACUUGAUCUAAUCGGAGACAUUUCAAAAGAGAAACAAGAUCUUCUCCGACAGACAGAUGUCAGUGGCAGCAAUAAGAUAAAGGAAACCAUAAGAGAGACCCAGCUUGAUUAUUUCAGAAAUUUAUCUGGGGAAAAGAAAUAAUUAUGGACUCUUUCCUGUAAGGCUGAAUAUUCAGACAACUGUGAUAGGGGUGCUGGAAGGCCAGAAGAUUGGCACUUCCAGAACUUUGUAAAUAGAUGAAACACCCCGUUUAAUCAGCUGAUGCUUGUUUACUGUUGUAAACCAUUGUCAGAUCAUGCAUAUUUUGAGGACUUUCCUUUAUACAUUUUUUUGUCAUUAAUUUUGUCAAUGUUUACUAUUGAAUUGUAGGUUGUAAGUGCAAUUAGAGUUAUAUUUAUGAUUUGAAUAGUAAUAAAGCAUUUUAAAGUUA